rnacentral:RNase_P_RNA from 1 species
AGCAGGCUGGACAGUCGCGGGGACAAGGCGAAAGCCUGUUCAUGAGGAAAGUCCGGGCUCCACAGGGCAAGAAUAACGGGUAACGCCCGCCGAAGGCGACUUCAGGAAAAGUGCAACAGAGAUAUACCGCCCUAUAGCAGCGGAAACACAGUUUCCGCUGCUAUAGGGUAAGGGUGGAAAGGCGAGGUAAGAGCUCACCCGACGGCGCGUGAAAGUGACCGUCGCUGUAAACUCUAUUCGGAGCAACACCGGUAUGGGAGCGUAUAGGCUGGCCCGGCUGCUCCCGGGGUGGCUUGAGCGUGCCGGCAACGGUACGCCCAGAUAGAUGACUGUCAAAACAGAACCCGGCUUAUAGGCCUGCUCG